GAUGAACGCUGGCGGCGUGCCUAAUACAUGCAAGUCGAGCGAACAGACGAGGAGCUUGCUCCUUCGACGUUAUCGGCGGACGGGUGAGUAACACGUAGGUAACCUACCUAUACGACUGGGAUAACUUCGGGAAACCGGAUCUAAUACCGGAUAAUAUUUCGAACCGCAUUGUUCAAUAGUGAAAGAUGGCUUUGCUAUCACUUAUAGAUGGCCCUGCCCCGUAUUAGCUAGUUGGUAAGGUAACGGCUUACCAAGGCAACGAUACGUAGCCGACCUGAGAGGGUGAUCGGACACACGGGAACUGAGACAUGGUCCAGACUCCUACGGGAGGCAGCAGUAGGGAAUCUUCCGCAAUGGGCGAAAGCCUGACGGAGCAACGCCGCGUGAGUGAUGAAGGUGUUCGGAUCGGAAAACUCUGUUAUUAGGGAAGAAGAAACGUGUAAGUAACUGUGCACGUCUUGACGGUACCUAGUCAGAAAGCCACGGCUAACUACGUG
rnacentral:rRNA from 1 species